UCCCGAUAGUAUGCAAUUAGUCAGCUUAAUAAGUUGGAAGAUAGCAUAUAAGAGCGAUGGAGCAGGCGGCAACGUGACAACUUGAGUAAUGGAAAGUCAAAAGGCUUGAUGCAAAAAGCAUUUGAUGGGAGCAGAAAAGAUUUGAAUGCAGCCAUUGAUCGCAUAUGUGAGUUUACUGGAACCAAGAUUGUCUUCUGGGAUUUAAGGGAGUCAUUCAUCGAGAAUCUGUAUAAACCAAGCGUUUCUCAGUCGAGAUUAGAGUCAUUGGUUGAACCACUUG